CUUAAUCCAACAUCGAGGUCGCAAACCCCCCUGCCGAUAAGAACUCUCAAGGGAGAUAACGCUGUUAUCCCUAAGGUAAUUUAAUCUUACAAUCAAAAUAAAUGGAUCAAACAAAUAUAAAUAAAUAUAACAACACAAAGGAGGGGUUAAAUUAUAUCCCUCCCAUCACCCCAACAAAACAUAUUAAACGGCCCAGUGAACCCUCACAAACAGAAAGUAGACCAUAAUAAAUGUCAAACUCUAUAGGGUCUUCUCGUCCCAUAAAAACAUCUAAGAAUUUUAACUCAAAGACCAAAUUCAAUAAACAAUUCAAAAUUAAGACAGCCCAUGCCUCGUCAAGCCAUUCAUACCAGAUCACAAUUAAAGAACUAAUGACUAUGCUACCUUUGCACGGUCAAAAUACCGCGGCCCUUCAACACUAAAGUCAGCGGGCAGGCCAUACUUCAAAAACUAA
rnacentral:rRNA from 1 species